rnacentral:tRNA from 2 species
UGCCCGGUAGCUCAGUGGCAGAGCAGGUGACUGUUAAUCACUUGGUCGAAGGUUCGAUCCCUUCCCGGGCAGCCA